AUGAAACAAUGUUUGGAAUGUAAGCCUAGGAGCCAGGAGACUCAGGCCCAGCCUUACAUCACUUGGUGCCCCGGGAUGAUCACAAUCUUCUCAAGGCUUCAGCUCCCUUUUUUUUCAGCGCUUCCCUCACUGCACCCCGCAUGCCAAAAGAAAUGCAAUGAAAGGACUUAAAAUAAGAAGAGAGUGCAGUAUAUAAGCGGUUUUGUGUUUUUUGCUUUUAUCUGUCGAAAGAAACAAACAUAAGAUUUUUUUAUGCUUUCAAAAAUCUAAAUCAUGAUCUAUUUUCUGUUGCUGUUUCUAUUUUUAUACCAAUAAAAACAAGCAUCAUGUCUAUUUCCCGAAGAAG
rnacentral:lncRNA from 1 species